UACGUAGGGCGCAAGCGUUAUCCGGAAUUAUUGGGCGUAAAGAGCUCGUAGGCGGUGUGUCGCGUCGGCCGUGAAAACCUGGGGCUCAACUCUGGGCGUGCGGUCGAUACGGGCAUCACUUGAGUUCGGCAGGGGAGACUGGAAUUCCUGGUGUAGCGGUGAAAUGCGCAGAUAUCAGGAGGAACACCAGUGGCGAAGGCGGCCUGCUGGGCUAUGGCUGACACUGAGGCGCGACAGCGUGGGGAGCAAACAGG
rnacentral:rRNA from 1 species